rnacentral:rRNA from 1 species
GUAGCUUGCUAUGGUAUAACUUAGUGGCAGACGGGUGAGUAAUGUAUAGGAAUCUACCUAGUAGUACGGAAUAAUUGUUGGAAACGGCAACUAAUACCGUAUACGCCCUACGGGGGAAAAAUUUAUUGCUAUUAGAUGAGCCUAUAUUAGAUUAGUUAGUUGGUGAGGUAAAGGCUUACCAAGACAAUGAUCUAUAGCUGAUCUGAGAGGAUGAUCAGCCACACUGGAACUGAGAUACGGUCCAGACUCCUACGGGAGGCAGCAGUGGGGAAUAUUGGACAAUGGGCGAAAGCCUGAUCCAGCCAUGCCGCAUGAGUGAAGAAGGCCUUCGGGUUGUAAAGCUCUUUUAGUGAGGAAGAUAAUGACGGUACUCACAGAAGAAGUCCUGGCUAACUCCGUGCCAGCAGCCGCGGUAAUACGGAGAGGGCUAGCGUUAUUCGGAAUCAUUGGGCGUAAAGGGCGCGUAGGCGGGUUAGUAAGUUAAAAGUGAAAUCCCAAGGCUCAACCUUGGAACUGCUUUUAAAACUGCUAGUCUAGAGAUUGAAAGAGGAUAGAGGAAUUCCUAGCGUAGAGGUGAAAUUCGUAAAUAUUAGGAGGAAUACCAGUGGCGAAGGCGUCUAUCUGGUUCAAAUCUGACGCUGAGGCGCGAAGGCGUGGGGAGCAAACAGGAUUAGAUACCCUGGUAGUCCACGCUGUAAACGAUGAAUGUUAAAUAUGGGAAGUUUACUUUCUGUAUUAUAGCUAACGCGUUAAACAUUCCGCCUGGGGACUACGGUCGCAAGAUUAAAACUCAAAGGAAUUGACGGGGACCCGCACAAGCGGUGGAGCAUGUGGUUUAAUUCGAUGCAACGCGAAAAACCUUACCACUCCUUGACAUGGAAAUUAUACCUAUUCGAAGGGAUAGG